GCUCAGGUAGCUCAAUUAGCAGAGCAUGAGACUCUCAAUCUCAAGGUUAUGGGUUAUACCCCCACAUUGGGCU